UAUUAGGUUGGUGCAAAAGUAAUUGCAGGCUUUGUCAAUACCUUUAAAAGCAAAAACCGUAAUUACUUUUGCACCAACCUAAUA
rnacentral:miRNA from 1 species